rnacentral:rRNA from 1 species
AGUGAACGCUGGCGGUAGGCCUAACACAUGCAAGUCGAACGGCAGCACAGUAAUAGCUUGCUCUUACUGGUUUCGAGUGUCGGACGGGUGAGUAAUACAUCGGAAUCUACUUUUUCGUUUUGGAUAACGUAGGGAAACUUACGCUAAUACCUCAUACUACCUACGGGUGAAAGCAGUGGAUCUUCGGACCUUGCGCGUUUUAAUGCGCCGAUGUCGGAUUAUCUAGUUUGCGGGUUAAAGGCCCACCAAGGCGACGAUCCGUAGCUGGUCUGAGAGGAUGAUCAGCCAAAAUGGAAAUGAGACACGGUACAGAAUACUACGGGAGGAAGAAGUGGGGAAUAUUGGACAAGGGGAGAAAGAAUGAUACAGAAAUACAGAGUGGGUGAAGAAGGAAUUCGGGUUGUAAAGAAAUUUUGUUGGGAAAGAAAAGAAGAAGGUUAAAAAACAGAUGUUAUGACGGUACAAAAAGAAUAAGCACCGGCUAACUUAGUG